rnacentral:rRNA from 1 species
AUUGAACGCUGGCGGCAGGCUUAACACAUGCAAGUCGAGCGGAUGAAGGGAGGUUGCUCCUGGGAUCAGGGGCGGACGGGUGAGUAAUGCCUAGGAACCUGCCUGGUAGUGGGGGAUAACGUCCGGAAACGGGCGCUCAUACCGCAGACGUCCUGAGGGAGAAAGGGGGGGACCUUCGGACCUUAGGCUGUCAGAUGAGCCAAGGUCGGAUUAGCUAGCUGGUGGGGUAAAGGCCUACCAAGGCGACGAUCCGUAAGUGGUCUGAGAGGAUGACCAGUCACACUGGAACUGAGACACGGUCCAGACUCCUACGGUGGGCAGCAGUGGGGAAUAUUGGGCAAUGGGCGAAAGCCUGAUCCAGCCAUGCCGCGGGUGUGAAGAAGGUCUUCGGAUUGUAAAGCACUUUAAGUUGGGGGGAAGGGCAGUAAGUUAAUACCUUGCUGUUUUGACGUUACCAACAGAAUAAGCACCGGCUAACUUCGUG